GUGACUGGGGUAUAGAAAUAUGGUCGCUUGGUCUUCUCCCGACCGGCAGUAAAACGCUUGCUGAAGUGGGGCGUCCGUUUGGCUGUGCGGGAUGUAUCAAGUUCGCAGUCACGUCCGUCAGAAGGGGACGUUAAAUCCGAUGCCUCGUGUAAAGAGAGUGCCACGCUCUUUGCACGUUAAGAACCCUUGCAACAACUCUUUGAGGGGUCCGUAGGUGGCCUGUUGCAAGGCAAAAUUUCUGUCCCUAUCCAAUAUACCCUCAUUUCCAGUGGCAGUCCAAAUUUCCCCGACCAUCAUCCUAGAUGGCCUCUAUUACAACAACCUACCUAUUGUAUUUAUUGUGAACUUGUUCUCGUCCUGAAUAUGCAUGAAAUAUUUGCCACUGGACGUUAAGCAACCAACAAUCAAUCAAUCAAUCGU
rnacentral:lncRNA from 1 species